UAAUAGAUCAAAAUAUAAUAGAUCAAACUGCAAUAGAUCAAACUGUAAUAGAUCAAACAUUAAUAGAUCAAAAUAAUAAAAGUAAUAACAGUAGUAUUAGUAAUAAUAAUUCUCAUAAUUUAUAUGUAAAUAAUAAUGUAAAUAAUAAUGUAAAUAAUAAUGUAAAUAAUAAUGUAAAUGUUAAUGGUAGUAUUAAUGACACAAGUCAAAACUUAAAUAAUAUAGUUUUAUCAAAUUGUAACAACAUUAGUAACAGCAUUAAUAAUAAUAAUAAAAUGAUGAGUAAUACUACUACUAAUAAUAAUAUUGUAAGUACUAUAAUUAAUAAUAACGUGAGUGGUACCACUAAUCCUUCACAUGUAGGUACAACCACUGACAUCCUUACCGGUGCAAUAUCUCCCAAUAAUAAUACCCUUACCACAAUUAAUAACAAUAAUAAUAAUAGUAGCAAUAAUAACAAUAAUAAUAAUAGUAGUAAUAAUAAUAUUUAUAAUACGAUUCGUAAAAAUAAUAAUCAAGUGUAUAAUCAAAUAAUUUAUUAUAAUGGGAACAUAAAUAAUAAUAUUGGAAAUGCGAAUGUCGGUAAUAAUGUAUCCUCUUACCCUCUUCGUAAUAACAACAUAAGUAAUAAUAACAACAUAAGUACUAAUAACAACAUAAGUACUAAUAACAGUAUAUGUACUAAUAACAGUAUAAGUACUAAUAAUAAUAUAAAUACCCAUAAUAAUAUAAAUACCCAUAAUAAUAUAAAUACCCAUAACAAUAUAAAUACCCAUAACAAUAUAAAUACCCAUAAUAAUAUAAAUACCCAUAAUAAUAAUGUAAUAAACAAUUUGCAUAUUAAUAACAACAACACAUUAAACAAUAACAUUAAUUCUUUAAAUUUUAAUAUAACAAAUAAUAUGGGAAAUAAUAUAAAAACGAAAAAAGCAUUUAUAAAAAAUGUUAUUAUCGAUGAAAAUAUAUCCAAUCAUAAUAAUGUAAAUAGUAACAGUAGUAAUUCGUACCAUAACAUGUGUAAUACUAACCCAUACAAUAGUAACCCAUACAAUAGUAACCCAUACAACAGUAACCCAAAC
ensembl:lncRNA